rnacentral:rRNA from 1 species
GCAGCGAAACGCGAUAGUUAAUGUGAAUUGCAGAAUUCAGUGAAUCAUCGAGUCUUUGAACGCACAUUGCGCCCAUUGGUAUUCCAUUGGGCAUGUCUGUUUGAGCGUCAUUACAACCCUCGGUCACCACCGGUUUUGAGCAAGCGCGGGUCCCCGACCCGGCUGGCUUUAAAGUUGUAAGCUCUGCUGGCCGCUCAGCCCAACCAGAACAUAGUAAAACGCUACUUGUUCACGGGUCGGGUUGAAAGCGGUGCGGCCUGAACAAAACCUACCAAACUCUAAGGUUUGACCUCAGAUCAGACAAGGAUACCCGCCGAACUUAAGCAUAUCAAUAAGCGGAGGAAAAGAAACCAACAGGGAUUGCCUCAGUAACGGCGAGUGAAGCGGCAAGAGCUCAAAUUUGAAAUCUGGUGCCUCUGGCACCCGAGUUGUAAUUUGAAGAGGAUGUUUCGGUUGCGGCCUCGGCCUAAGUUCCUUGGAACAGGACGUCAUGGAGGGUGAGAAUCCCGUACAUGGCUGCAGGUCUGCUUCCGUGUGAAACUCCUUCGACGAGUCGAGUUGUUUG